rnacentral:rRNA from 1 species
UAGGGAAUCUUCGGCAAUGGGGGGAACCCUGACCGAGCAACGCCGCGUGAGUGAAGAAGGUUUUCGGAUCGUAAAGCUCUGUUGUUAAGGAAGAACGAGUGUGAGAAUGGAAAGUUCAUACUGUGACGGUACUUAACCAGAAAGGGACGGCUAACUACGUGCCAGCAGCCGCGGUAAUACGUAGGUCCCGAGCGUUGUCCGGAUUUAUUGGGCGUAAAGCGAGCGCAGGCGGUUAGAUAAGUCUGAAGUUAAAGGCAGUGGCUCAACCAUUGUAGGCUUUGGAAACUGUUUAACUUGAGUGCAGAAGGGGAGAGUGGAAUUCCAUGUGUAGCGGUGAUAUGCGUAGAUAUAUGGAGGAACACCGGUGGCGAAAGCGGCUCUCUGGUCUGUAACUGACGCUGAGGCUCGAAAGCGUGGGGAGCGAACAGG